rnacentral:rRNA from 1 species
AUUGAACGCUGGCGGCAUGCCUUACACAUGCGAGUCGAACGGUAACAGGUCUUCGGAUGCUGACGAGUGGCGAACGGGUGAGUAAUAUAUCGGAACGUGCCCAGUAGUGGGGGAUAGCCCGGCGAAAGCCGGAUUAAUACCGCAUACGACCUGAGGGGGAAAGGGGGGGAUUCGCAAGAACCUCUCGCUAUUGGAGCGGCCGAUAUCAGAUUAGGUAGUUGGUGGGGUAAAGGCCUACCAAGCCUGCGAUCUGUAGUUGGUCUGAGAGGACGACCAGCCACACUGGGACUGAGACACGGCCCAGACUCCUACGGGAGGCAGCAGUGGGGAAUUUUGGACAAUGGGCGCAAGCCUGAUCCAGCAAUGCCGCGUGCAGGAAGAAGGCCUUCGGGUUGUAAACUGCUUUUGUCAGGGAAGAAAUCCUCUGGGUUAAUACCUCGGGGGGAUGACGGUACCUGAAGAAUAAGCACCGGCUAACUACGUGCCAGCCGCCGCGGUAAUAC